GCGGGUAUAGUUUAGUUGGUAAAACCUUAGCCUUCCAAGCUAAAGUGGUGGGUUCGAGUCCCAUUACCCGCU
rnacentral:tRNA from 1 species